rnacentral:rRNA from 1 species
AUUGAACGCUGGCGGCAUGCUUUACACAUGCAAGUCGAACGGCAACGAGGAGAAGCUUGCUUCUCUGUCGGCGAGUGGCGAACGGGUGAGUAUAGCAUCGGAACGUGCCAAGUAGUGGGGGAUAACCAAACGAAAGUUUGGCUAAUACCGCGUAAGCUCUAAGGAGGAAAGUAGGGGACCUAAUAAGGCCUUACGCUAUUUGAUCGGCCGAUGUCGGAUUAGCUAGUUGGUGGGGUAAUGGCUCACCAAGGCAAUGAUCCGUAGCGGGUCUGAGAGGACGAUCCGCCACACUGGGACUGAGACACGGCCCAGACUCCUACGGGAGGCAGCAGUGGGGAAUUUUGGACAAUGGGGGAAACCCUGAUCCAGCCAUGCCGCGUGUAUGAAGAAGGCCUUAGGGUUGUAAAGUACUUUUGUUAGGGAAGAAAAGCUAGUUUUUAAUAAAAAUUAGUGAUGACGGUACCUAAAGAAUAAGCACCGGCUAACUACGUG